rnacentral:rRNA from 1 species
CCGGGUAGAGUAACACGUGAGUGACCUGCCUUUUAGACUGGAACAACUUACCGAAAGGUGAGCUAAUGCCGGAUGAGUUAUAUAAGUGCAUGUUUAUAUAGGAAAAGUUGGGGAGACCUGACGCUGAAAGAUGGACUCGCGUCCCAUUAGCUAGUUGGUAGGGUAAUGGCCUACCAAGGCGACGAUGGGUAGCCGGCCUGAGAGGGUGGCCGGCCACACUGGGACUGAGACACGGCCCAGACUCCUACGGGAGGCAGCAG